CGGCAACAGCUCAAAUUUUAAAUCUGGCUCCCUCGGGGGUCCGAGUUGUAAUUUGCAGAGGGUGCUUUGGCGUCGGUAGCGGUCUAAGUUCCUUGGAACAGGACAUCACAGAGGGUGAGAAUCCCGUACGUGGUCGCUAACCUUCGCCGUGUAAAGCCCCUUCGAC
rnacentral:rRNA from 1 species